ensembl:misc_RNA Metazoa_SRP Metazoan signal recognition particle RNA
ACUGGGCAUGGUGGCUCAUGCCUGUAAUCCCAUCACCUUGGGAGGCUGAGGCGGGUGGAUCACCUGAGGUCAGGAGUUCGAGACUAGCCUGGCCAACAUGGUGAAACCCCGCCUCUA